CCCGCGACGAAGCGGUGGAGUAUGUGGUUUAAGUUCGACGCAACGCGCAGAACCUUACCUGGUCUUGACAUCCGGGAAUUCCUUGAAGAGGAAGUGCCUCGCAAGAGGAGCCUGGAGACAGGUGCUGCAUGGCUGUCGUCAGCUCGUGUCGUGAGAUGUUGGGUUAAGUCCCGCAACGAGCGCAACCCUUGUCUUUAGUUGCCAUCAUUCAGUUGGGCACUCUAAAGAGACUGCCGGUGUCAAACCGGAGGAAGGUGGGGAUGACGUCAAGUCCUCAUGGCCUUUAUGACCAGGGCUACACACGUACUACAAUGGCCGGUACAAAGGGCAGCCACUUAGCGAUAAGGAGCCAAUCCCGUAAAGCCGGUCUCAGUCCGGAUUGGAGUCUGCAACUCGACUCCAUGAAGUUGGAAUCGCUAGUAAUCGCAGAUCAGCACGCUGCGGUGAAUACGUUCCCGGGCCUU
rnacentral:rRNA from 1 species